rnacentral:tRNA from 2 species
UCUAGAUUAGCAGAAUUUAAUGCGUUUGAUUUAGGUUCAAGAGGAGUAAAUAAUUACAUUUAGAA